AUUGAACGCUGGCGGCAUGCCUUACACAUGCAAGUCGAACGGCAGCACGGGAGCAAUCCUGGUGGCGAGUGGCGAACGGGUGAGUAAUAUAUCGGAACGUGCCCAGUCGUGGGGGAUAACGUAGCGAAAGCUACGCUAAUACCGCAUACUAUCUAUGGAUGAAAGCGGGGGAUCGCAAGACCUCGCGCGAUUGGAGCGGCCGAUAUCAGAUUAGGUAGUUGGUGAGGUAAAGGCUCACCAAGCCGACGAUCUGUAGCUGGUCUGAGAGGACGACCAGCCACACUGGGACUGAGACACGGCCCAGACUCCUACGGGAGGCAGCAGUGGGGAAUUUUGGACAAUGGCGCAAGCCUGAUCCCAGCAAUGCCGCGUGCAGGAUGAA
rnacentral:rRNA from 1 species